CCCUGCGGGGGAGAACCCCGGAACUGGGGAUAAUACCCCAUAGAUUAGGGAUGCUGGAAUGCCCCCUAGUUCAAAGGUCCGCCGCCACAGGAUGGGUCUGCGGCCGAUUAGGUUGUUGUUGGGGUAACGGCCCAACAAGCCAUUGAUCGGUACGGGUUGUGGGAGCAAGAGCCCGGAGAUGGAUUCUGAGACACGAAUCCAGGCCCUACGGGGCGCAGCAGGCGCGAAAACUUUACAAUGCGAGAAAUCGUGAUAAGGGAACCCCGAGUGCCCGUAAAUUCGGGCUGUCCGUCAGUGUAAAUAACUGGCGAAGAAAGGGCCGGGCAAGACCGGUGCCAGCCGCCGCGGUAAUACCGGCGGCUCGAGUGGUGGCCGCUAUUACUGGGCUUAAAGCGUCCGUAGCUGGGUUGUUAAGUCUCCUGGGAAAUCCACCGGCUCAACCGAUGGGCGUUCAGGAGAUACUGGCAACCUAGGGACCGGGAGAGGUGAGAGGUACUCCAGGGGUAGGAGUGAAAUCCUGUAAUCCUUGGGGGACCACCUGUGGCGAAGGCGUCUCACCAGAACGGCUCCGACAGUGAGGGACGAAAGCUGGGGGAGCAAACCGGAUUAGAUACCCGGGUAGUCCCAGCUGUAAACGAUGCGCGUUAGGUGUAUCGGUGACCACGAGUCACCGAGGUGCCGAAGAGAAAUCGUGAAACGUGCCGCCUGGGAAGUACGGUCGCAAGGCUGAAACUUAAAGGAAUUGGCGGGGGAGCAC
rnacentral:rRNA from 1 species